UACGGAGGGAGCUAGCGUUGUUCGGAAUUACUGGGCGUAAAGCGCACGUAGGCGGCUUUUUAAGUCAGGGGUGAAAUCCCGGGGCUCAACCCCGGAACUGCCCUUGAAACUGCUAAGCUAGAAUCUUGGAGAGGCGAGUGGAAUUCCGAGUGUAGAGGUGAAAUUCGUAGAUAUUCGGAAGAACACCAGUGGCGAAGGCGACUCGCUGGACAAGUAUUGACGCUGAGGUGCGAAAGCGUGGGGAGCAAACAGG
rnacentral:rRNA from 1 species